UGUUAUAGAGCAUGUUUGGUUCUAUGCCUAGGACGCCACAGCCUAACAUUAGGUAUGCCACACAGACUUGGGUAGAUGUUUGGUUUAUUCCUAAUGUGAGGCUGCCACACUUUAUCUGGCGCACUUAUCUUCUUUCACCACAUAACUUUUCGUCGCACUUGAGGCUGCCGAUUCGGCCGCCACAAACCUGAGACCCGCCACACUUCUCCAGAGUGCCAGCGCCGGCCCUAGCACCUCCACCGCAACUCUGACGCUUGGACCACUGGAUCUGCUGCUGGCCGUCGACCGCCAUCAGAAGGGACUUGUUGCAAGCUGAGGACACCAGGAAACCCUUGUUUGCUACUGCUCAAGGCUCAACUAGGUACUCUUUUGUGGAUGGAAGGGUGGUGUUGUUGGCUGGCUGUUUUGCUGUGAAUUCCUUAGGUGGUUGCCUGUUAUUUUGCUCAGUGGCCAGGUGAUGUAUAUGGCGGUGGUGAUGCCUGAUUCUUUUGCACGUCUUCGAAGUUGAUCAAUAAGGCUUAAGGAGAUGGAUGGUGCUGCUCAUAGCUGAAUGUGUGUGUGUAUGUGUGUAAUAGCAACUACCUCAGACUGUUUUGAAUCUAUUUUAGACCUAUUAAUCACCUGUAAUGAACAUGUUGUGGAGCUAUUAUGAACUGAUUAUUAGCUUAUCAUGCGCAUGUGAUUAAAGUGGUGUAAGAUUCUUA